rnacentral:tRNA from 1 species
GGGGUUGUGGCUCAGUGGUAGAACUCGCCUAGCAUUUGCGAGGCACUGGGUUUGAUUCUCAGCACCACA